CCUGCCCCUAGAGGCCUUGCAGGUGUGGCUGCUGUGUCACAUGUGCAGCAGUAGGUGGCAGAGAGGAGAGAGGCUAUGUCUACGCUCAGUGUUCUGACCUACGAACAGCUGAAUUAUCAGUAGCCUAACAUU